GAAAAUAACAUAUUCAUGUAUUACACUGUUUCAUACAAUACACAGAUUCUAACAUACAGACAGAUAACAGACACAUUAACAUAAAUAAAAUUCAUAUACAAAUUCCUUAGCAGCAACAAGAAUAUUUCCUAUCAUUUUCUACACACCACACACUAACAUACACUGUAUGUACGCAUAUCCUUGUGAUUGAAAAAGAAGAAGAAAUAAAAAUCAAUGGAAGUAUGGGAAGAGAGAAGAAAGAUUAAGAGAGAAACGAUGAGAGAACAGUGUCCGACGAAAUCUCAUCAGAAAUACUAUUUUCUACAGGCGACUCAAAAACCAGCGAAACCGCUGGUAUAUCUUUUGCCAGAAUCCAGUCAGGUCCGGCGAAAACCCAAACAAAAUAGAUCGAUUCUCUCCAUCAGUGAACCAAAUCGCUGGAAAUCGCCAAAACCACCCAAAAUCAAUUCGUCCCGUCACCAUUCCGACGACCCUCUUCACCGAAAAAUGGCAAAAACCCACCGACGCUGAUCUCCUUUUCCUUUUUCCCUCCCUGUCAGCCGCUGCGAACUAUUACUGACCGAAAAAAUAUACCCACCAGCCGCAUAAAUUUGGCUUAAGUCCUAUCGGAUCUGGCCAUCACCGGUGAACGGACAUUGCCAUUGAAAAAUACGCUACUU
rnacentral:lncRNA from 1 species